UACCAUCGUCCCUGUCGCCGUCGCAUCAGUUCCACACCGCUACAGCGCUGCCUACCACCGCACUCCAUUGGCUUGGAUUUGUUUGUGGCAUGGGCUGGGAACUGUACGGUGUUGUCUGAUGCAUGUUCCGCACUGGGAGGUUUGGUCGGCUGACGCUAGGUUUGUUUCUGAUGUGGCUACUCUGGAAUACAAUUUAUGGGCGAGAGAUCAGACUUUCAGGUUGGGUGCGGUAUUAUAUCUCAUCAGAUUCAGUAACCAGCGUGGAAUUAAUUUUAAUUUUGUUCUUCAUCAGAUAAGUAGAGCCAUGCUUUACCCCAAUCUUCAUUUUAUGAAUCUCAACUUCAAAAAUCAUGAUAGUUGCACUGUAUUUUGUUGAGUCCAACACAAAGCUGAGAGCAGAGUACCUACUUUGUCUUGGUAAGCCAAAUAGUUGGUACUUGCUGAGGCUACAAAAUUAUCUUAAUUGUUCCAUUUAGUAGUUCACUGAAUAUUAAACAAUGCUGUUUCUUCCACUGGGGAGUUGUUUUAUGUAGCCCGAACAACAAACAGCCUAUGAACUUCUAAACCAAUUCUUUUUUUUAUUAGGACCCUGCUCUUUUAACUGAAAAACUGGGAGCACUAGCAGUUCUUCACAAGGUAAUCACCUCCUAUGAAUGUUUGGUGGUGCUGCUCCAAUUUCUAUUGCAGUGCUUCUGAUGUAUGAAUGGAUUAUUUUCCUCAUUUGCUAAUUAAUGCAACUGGCGUAAUUCUUCAUGAGAAUAGAUAUUUUUGUAGUGCACAGUAUGAUGUUUUUAGUUACCCUCCUUAUGAAUAGAUUUUUUGUAGUGCACAGUACAAUAUUUUUGUCAGGGUUGCAUGUUGCUUGCUACUGCUACUGCUUGUACAAUUGUGUUUUUUUGUAAUAUUUCUUAACUGUUAAGAGAUAUGGCCACACUGAGAUUUUGCUAUGGGCAGGAAAGUGGAUUGGACAAUGCCGCUAGUUCGGAUGGCGCCCCAUAUGGUUGUCGACCAUGGGCGACGUGAGGAGGGACAAGGUAGAGAAAGGGGGUCAGGUUGGCGCCACAUUAGAGGUGAGCGAGGGGGCCGGGGUUGCGUCGCUGCAGAGAUGCGCGAGGGGAUCGGAGCUGCCAAGCGGAUUAAUCAGAGCACUUCGCUCCUGCUGCCUUUGGCCUGAUGCUUAGAUGGAUUGAUGCGUAAGUUUGAAUCCUUUCAUUUUUCACUUCUCUAAUGGGUGGCUGAUGGCCUGAUGCUUUGAUGGAUCGAUGCAUGCUAGAACUGGCUGAUAUGUGCGUGUGUGUGCACAUUUUUUUCUUUUGAUUUUUGUAGAGAUUGGCUCAUGCUUCUCUGCUUAUGGAUUUCUUCUUUCUUCUGUCUGUGUUUCUCACUCUGUUGUUGAAUGAUCUGGUGAUUUUUUUUCUUUGUGGGCUUAUCUGAUGAAAUUUACUGCUACUUAGAUUGUGCACUGACACUGCCACCAGAAGAUAGAUCAUAGAUGCAUGUGUUUGCUUUCGAACAUGGUGCGUAAUCUUGUGGUUUGCCAACUGUCACCUCCGGCAAUUUCAGUUCAACAUGUCUUGGUUUUUGCAUUCUGAGUUCAGAGUUCUACAUAGUGGAAUG
rnacentral:lncRNA from 1 species